AUGUUGAGCGGUCUUUUUUCCCAAAACAAAAUUUUGGUUACUUUUAGUUUCCUUCUCAGACUCGCUCUCUCUGUCGUCUCUCUCUCGAGCUCUCCGUCUCUCUCUCUAUCUCUCUGGACCCCCUCUCUCUCUCGAGGUGAUUAGAGCUUCAGAUUGUUGCUUCAACUCUUCUUCUUCGAUUAAUUGGUCAGAAGAACAAUUUUGGUCCAAGUCGAGUGAGAAUGAUGAUGAAACUUUAAAUGAAGAGGGACAAUCAAAGCAUAGCACUCUGAUGGUGCAUCUGAUGGUGUCUAGCAGACUAGUAAUCUGAGAGACUGAAUCCAGACCACUGGAGGCUUAGGGUGAGACGAUGACAUGAUGGAGAGGAUGGAGCUUGAACUUUUACUAUUUAUUUUUUAAAUUUCAGUUAAUUGUGAUACUUUAACACUUGUUUUGCUGGUUGUGGAUACACCAUUGUGGGGUGUUUGGAUUUUGAAAUUGUUAAAUUUGGUUACGAGGAUUUUCUUGUUUAGCAACUAUAUGAAUCAUGUUUUAUAUUUAUUAUUAGCACUGGUUGUGAGCC